rnacentral:rRNA from 1 species
UACGGGAGGCAGCAGUGGGGAAUAUUGCACAAUGGGCGAAAGCCUGAUGCAGCUAUGCCGCGUGUAUGAAGAAGGCCUUAGGGUUGUAAAGUACUUUCAUCGGGGAGGAAAAAACAAAACUAAUAAUUUUAUUUCUUGACGUUACCCGAAAAAGAAGCACCGGCUAACUCCGUGCCAGCAGCCGCGGUAAUACGGAGGGUGCUAGCGUUAAUCAGAAUUACUGGGCGUAAAGAGCACGUAGGUGGUUUUUUUAAGUCAGAUGUGAAAUCCCUGGGCUUAACCUAGGAACUGCAUUUUGAAACUGAAAUACUAGAGUAUCGUAGAGGGAGGUAGAAUUCUAGGUGUAGCGGUGAAAUGCGUAGAUAUCUGGAGGAAUACCUGUGGCGAAAGCGGCCUCCUAAACGAAUACUGACACUGAGUGCGAAAGCGUGGGGAGCAAAC